rnacentral:lncRNA from 1 species
GAUUGACUGAUGACCAAAUCUCAUUGGUCAUAAAUAUAUGAGAUAUUAAGUCAAUGCAUAGGUACAUGUUAGAGAACGAUGUACUGGACAGACCCACCAUGAGAAUUCUACAUGGAGCAUUAUGCGAAGUGUCGUUAGCAAUUCUCAUAGUGACAAUGAUGUAAUGGUCCUCCGACCUGAAAUCGCUAUAUUACUACACGAGAAUUUAUGUACUUUGAUAUCAUCAAAUGUCACCUUUAAUAGGGUGGACUAUAAAGGUGAUUAUUGGGUUCAUCAUUAAUCGUGUGAGAAAUAUGAGUGAUCUAGAUGGAAUUUAACCAUCCUAUAUAUUAUGGGUGAUAUCCAUAGGCCUCUUGAUUGAGUAGGACUAUGAAAUGCAUGGCCAUGCUCAAAUAGUGAUUUGUUUCAUAUAGUCUACUCAUUGAUCAAGAAAACUCAGAUUAAAUUAUGAAGAGUAUGACACAUUCCAUGACUCGAGUUUAAUCUAGGAUAUUAAGGUUAAAAGGAUUAAAUUACAUUGAAACAUUGG